rnacentral:snoRNA from 1 species
GGUCCUUGACCUGGGUAGAAGGGCACCUGGUCAGUGUUGCCAACCUCAUAUCCUUCUGGGGCAAAGCAAUUCCUUGUUUAUCCCAGCUUGGCUUUUGGUCUGUGCCAGUGCCUGAUUCAUGCCCUGGACACAUAA